CACCGCGGUUAUACGAGAGGCUCAAGUUGAUGAACCCCGGCGUAAAGAGUGGUUAAGGGAGAUCAAAACUAAAGCCGAAUGCUUUCAAAGCUGUUAUACGCUUCCGAAAGUAAGAAGCCCAAUCACGAAAGUGGCUUUACUUUACCUGACCCCACGAAAGCUACGACA
rnacentral:rRNA from 1 species